CAUUGUCUGCUUUCUUGUAACAAACCACAGGAACAUUGUUAAAGCUCCAGUUCUAAUGCGGGAAUUAUGGCUUGAGAUGUGGCACAACAUCCAUCCUGAUGCAAAAUCAAAGUUUGUUAUGAAAGCUAAGCAUGGCCCUCUGAGGGAUGAGGACUGUUACUGGGACUAUGGUAAAGCUUGUUGUGCAUGGCCUGAGCAUUGCGAUAUUCUUACCUUUUGAACAUCUGUGUUCCCUGGGAUUCUAUGGCCAUCUGUUUCACUUGCUGCAUAAUGUACAGAUAUGUCUUUGGAGACGUUCACAUCGGGCAGAGCUGUAGGCUAAAGAAUUCUUCGGCUGAUCUGCUCUUGCAUUAUUUGUAACUUGUGAGGACUCUUUUGAUGUGUUUCUUCAGGAGUCAGGCAUCUCACCGUACAGUAUUUCCAUCGGUGCCUCCAUGUACCAUGAAUGUGCAAUGAAAACACUGGAAGCAAAUGGCUAUGAAGGACUCAGAAGUAAUCCCCCAACCCGUAGGCAGAGUUGACAUUGUGAAAAUGGCCGAUGACCAAAGAUUGAAACUCUAUUUUUAG